GAUGCAGUUUAACUUCAUACCCAGGACUAAUCUACCCAUGUCUCUAUUUAGUCAUUUAAUAUGCAGACUCGAGUAUAUGCAUACUAGGUUUGGAUAUUGAGUUUGUUACAUAGUGAUGGGUGGAAGUGCCCCAAGUAGCAGUUCUGGGACUUCCAUGGCCAGUGUCCUAAAGAGAGUCUGACAUUGCAAGGCAAUUUGACCUGCCUGAGAGACAAAGUAAGCUGAACACUAUGUUGCGGGAAGAAGGACUGAAAGACGAACAAGUAUACUGUGUGUGCCGCACAUCUGAUGUGUCGCGAUUCAUGAUCGGCUGUGACAAAUGUGAGGAGUGGUACCAUGGUGACUGUAUCAACGUUACAGAGAGUGAAGCCAACAAAAUUAAGAAGUUUUUUUGUGAAGUAAGAUAUUAAAGUUUGUGAAUAACAUAUGCAA